CCGAUUCACAUAUUUCUUGGACAAGAUCCUCCCCCGAAUGUACGUCGAAUUGCUGGAGCGCGCGUAUAAAUACAUGCACGCGGAUGAAGGAGCUUCCGAUCGGUGCCUGAUGGAGGGUACGGGCCAGAAGGAGAAGCAGAAGAAAGGUUGGGCCCCUACUGAACCCAGCAGGCCCCCGACCGACAAACGGGUCUCGCCCCGACGACGGAGCCU
rnacentral:lncRNA from 1 species